UAUGACUGAGAGUAUUCCACUUUGUGUUUUUUCCAUAGUUUCCAUAGUUUUUCAAGGUGAAAAAUGAAGCUGUUGCCAAACAGCUUUCCCAUAUUGGUAUUGCAAGUGAGUUGGUGUCUGUCUCAAAAUUGGAUAUAUAAACAGGCAAUGCCACAUCUGAAGAAGCUAUGAUGUCAUGCUACUUAGUGCUCUCUCUGUCAAAGACUGUCAGGCUGCAGUUCCAUUAGACUCCAACCAGGCCCAGAUGAAGAAUGAGCUCUUUGCUGUGCACUGACCACAGCCCAGUCAGAGCCACUGAAGUAUCCUAUUCAUCAUUUGCUCAGGGAUAGACACACAGUUUUUUUGGAGAUUUCCCCACAGAAAUACUCAGUCACGUCUGAAAAGUGAAUUUCACCAGUAUCUGUCUGCUGCUUUGUUUGCCUCCAACCAUUAUUUGGUUUGUCCCAGUCUAGUGAGCACCUUUUGACACCCCCCAAGCCUCUCAAUUCAUCUGAGGGCCUAUCCUGCUACCAAUGAAAACCAAGUGGCAACAGCUGUUUUUGACCAAAACCAUGACAAUAAAAUGUG